rnacentral:ncRNA from 1 species
GCUACGGACUUGAUUGUAUUGAGCCUUGGUAUGGAAACCUGCUAAGUGGUAACUUCCAAAUUCAGAGAAACCCUGGAAUGAAAAAUGGGCAAUCCUGAGCCAAAUCCACUUUUUUCAAAAAAGUGGUUCUCAAACUAGAACCCAAAGGAAAAGGAUAGGUGCAGAGACUCAAUGGAAGCUGUUCUAACGAAUCGAAGUAAUAACGAUUAAUCACAGAACCCAUAUUAUAAUAUAGGUUCUUUAUUUUAUUUUGAGAAUGAAAUUAGGAAUGAUUAUGAAAUAGAAAAUUCAUAAUUUUUUUAGAAUUAUUGUGAAUCUAUUCCAAUCGAAUAUUGAGUAAUCAAAUCCUUCAAUUCAUUGUUUUCGAGAUCUUUUAAAAAGUGGAUUAAUCGGACGAGGAUAAAGAGAGAGUCCCAUUCUACAUGUCAAUACUGACAACAAUGAAAUUUCUAGUAAAAGGAAAAUCCGUCGACUUUAUAAGUCGUGAGGGUUCAAGUCCCUCUAUCCCCA